rnacentral:rRNA from 1 species
GACGAACGCUGGCGGCGUGCUUAACACAUGCAAGUCGAACGGAAAGGCCCUGCUUUUGUGGGGUGCUCGAGUGGCGAACGGGUGAGUAACACGUGAGUAACCUGCCCUCGACUUUGGGAUAACUUCAGGAAACUGGGGCUAAUACCGGAUAGGAGCUCCUGCUGCAUGGUGGGGGUUGGAAAGUUUCGGCGGUUGGGGAUGGACUCGCGGCUUAUCAGCUUGUUGGUGGGGUAGUGGCUUACCAAGGCUUGGACGGGUAGCCGGCCUGAGAGGGUGACCGGCCACAUUGGGAUGGGGAUGCGGCCCAGACUCCUACGGGAGGCAGCAGUGGGGAAUAGUGCACAAUGGGCGGAAGCCUGAUGCAGCAACGCCGCGUGCGGGAUGACGGCCUUCGGGUUGUAAACCGCUUUCGCCUGUGACGAAGCGUGAGUGACGGUAAUGGGUAAAGAAGCACCGGCUAACUACGUG